GUGUCCGUAGUAUCGGAGAUCGAGUGCUCAUGAAGUAGGCGGGGAGCCGAGGUCAUCGUCGAAGCAUGAAUCCUUCUCUUCAAUUCUGGCAGAGAAGCUGUGGCUGCAAUGGAAUUGUUCGACUGUGGCUUGACGGCCGAAGUUGUUAGUGCUCGCAACAACCGUGAAGAUGAGAGCAGCGGUGGAGCUUGGAUUGUCGUUGGAAUAAGUUGCAAUUGGGCUCCUCCAGCACAUAUUGGGCUUUGAGGUAGCUGGAUAGGCUAAAUUGCAAGAGAAACAUGAUGAUCAGUGGCAGGAGGGGCAUAGAUGCCUUCCCCGGCACUUCGAAAGUGCAGCUCUCUACGAAAUUUGUCGAAAUAUGCAGGAAGCUUGGUUGCAAAAGCCUUUUCGAUAGCAGCAUCAAUGAGGGAAGGUAACGAGGCCAUUGUAGCCUCCAAGGAAGUAACACAAUCUUCUAGGGAAGAGAAACGAGGGGCAGCGGUUUGGCGGGUGUGCACAGGAGGGAAACCAGGAUUCGAGAAGGAUGAUACCAAUGAUAAGAUCCAAAUCUCUCAGCCCUUAAUCAAUCUGCAAGUAACACAUAAGAUAGAGAGGAAGAGGGAAGGAAGAUGAAGGAGCAGAGCUCCAAAUAUUUUUGUAUUUAAUUUCAUUUGUGUAAAUUCUCAUCUCCUUUGUUUUCUGGGAGCUGGGCUCCUUUUAUACAAACUCUACCCCUUAAAAUUCCAGUUGGCAUAUUUAAGUCCUUAAUACUAAAAACUAAAGCAUAAAACCUCCCAUUAACACUCUAAAUCAUCGAUUAAGACAAUCACAAUUGAGACCUAUUAUGGGUUCAUAACAACAACACUCUGGAGGCUACAACAACACUCUGGAGGCUCAAUCACAAGGCUCUCUCCGACGUACGUUUCAUGCUUGGGCGAGUUCAAGAGCUUGGAGAGUUUCGACCUCAGCUUCAACAAAACCUCACUUCUCUCAAGGGGUUGAAGUCAUGUGUCAAUUGGAAAUGGCUAUCUGUCGCGAAUAAUAAGCUGCAGAACCUCAACGGAAUAGUGUUAAAUGCUGGCAACAAUAAGCUUAAGGCGAUGGAUGAGGUCAAAGUCUAUUGUGAGCUUACGUGCAGUAAUUUUGAAUGAUAAUGAGAUUGCUUCAAUUUGCAGACUUGAACUGUUAAGAGAACUGAACACUCUUGUUCUUUCUAGAAAUCCGAUCCAUGACAUUGGUGAUUCUCUGAAGAAGAUGAAAUCUAUCACAAAGCUUACUUUCUGUCACUGCCAACUUCAGACUAUAGAGGCUUCGCUCAAGUUCUGUAUUGAACUGAAAGGGCUCCGUCUUGCUCAUAAUGAUAUUAAGAGUCUCUCAGCCGAGUUGGCUCUUAAUAAGAAGCUCCAGAAUUUGGACAUGGGUAAUAAUGUGAUCACAAGAUAGUCAGAUCUGAAGGUAAUCAAUUCAUUGGUCAAUCUGUGGAAUCUCAAUCUGCAAGGAAACACUGUUGUUGAAAAGGAUAAAUUAGUAAAGAAGAUUAAAAAGAUGUUGCUGAACCUCCACGUAUUCAAUGCAAGGCCCAUAGAUAAAUACAUCAAGAAUGGAAAGGGCGCUGGAAUUGAUGAAGAUGAUUCUUCACUUAAUACUGCUAGCAAGUAAGAAACUCAAACAGAAGAGCCAAAAUAUAGAGAUUUCAAACAUCGUGCAAUGGGUGAAACCAAUGGUGAUAUUGAAAAUGCUAGUCAUUCUGAUACAAAGAAAUCGAAAUGGAAAAGGCAGGGAUCAAAAGACAACACCUCAAACAAUGUUGUUGUUGUCGAGGGGGAUGAAAAAAGAGAUCCCGUCAAGAAAAAGAACCGCAAACAUCAAGUGCAAAAUGAAGAUGAUCGUGGUAAUCUUGAGAAUACUGGGGAUUUUGAGAAAGCAUCGCAACAGAAGAAGCAGAAAAAGAGUUCAGCCCAUACAGAAGACAAUACCAGGGUUGGAAAGAAAUCAGAGAAAUCCAAGGUGAGAAAAGGUGACCUUGAUGUUAUCGAUGAUGCAGAUACACCAUUUUUGAAGCUUUUUUCUGUUGAUGCUAAGGUUGCUGGUGAAAAAAAGGCUAAGGACAAGGUAAUAUUAUUGGGUGGCUUAGUAACCUUCCCUUGAAAGAGUACAACAACAACAACAAAGCCUUUUCCCACUAAGUGGGGUCGGCUAUAUGAAUCCUAGAACACCAUUGCGCGCGGUUUUGUGUCAUAUCAUCCGUUAGAUCCAAGUACUCUAAGUCUU